CCAAACCAUGGCUCACCUUUUUAAAGAGAAGCCCCGAUAUCCAAGCAAAAGAAGAGUUAUGGAAGCACAUUCAAAAAGAACUUGUGGAUCCAUCCGGAUUGUCUGAAGAACAAUUAAAAGAGAUUCCGUACACUAAAAUAGAGUGAGUGCCUUUCAGAAUCUUCUCACAAAAGCUUUAUUAGUGCUUGACACAAGGUGACCCAAUCCGCAUCAGGCAUUCUCAUUCGCCACGAAGUUACCGCCAGUAUCGCAGGUCCCAGUGUUCAGAUGGGGAGCGAUCAGUUCUCUCGGAAGUGAAUUCAAAAACAGAUCUUGUACCACCACUUCCAGUGACCCGUUCUUCGGAUGCUCAGGGUUCUGGGGACGCUACAGUUCAUCAGAGAAGAAAUGGGUCUAAAGAUAGCCUGAUGGAAGAAAAACCUCAGACAUCUACAAACAACCUGGCUGGAAAACACACAGCAAAAACAAUAAAAACUAUACAAGCUUCCCGCCUCAAGA
rnacentral:sRNA from 1 species